UACGUAGGGUCCGAGCGUUGUCCGGAGUUACUGGGCGUAAAGCGCGCGCAGGUGGUUCCCUAAGCCCGGCGUGAAAGCCCCCGGCUCAACCGGGGAGGGUCGUCGGGGACUGGAGAACUUGAGGGCGGCAGGGGCUGGUGGAAUCCCCGGUGUAGUGGUGAAAUGCGUAGAGAUCGGGGGGAACACCCGUGGCGAAGGCGGCCAGCUGGGCCGACCCUGACACUGAGGCGCGAAAGCUAGGGGAGCAAACGGG
rnacentral:rRNA from 1 species